UCUCCGCAUAAGAAAAUGUGUUUUUGAGUAUUACAAGUAACUCUUAGUUGGCAAAAUAAUGCACAAGAGUGGCACAAAGUACUUCUACAAUAAGAAUAAGUUGAAAAGUUUGGAAAAAUACGUGAAUUUUCGUGUCAAGUUUCGGGGCGAAACUUCUUUUAAGAGGGGUAGAUUGUAAUCCCCCGUAAUUUUAUACAUUUCAUUUAUAUAUUUUACCGUAUAUUUAAUAUAUUUAAAUAAGAAUUUAUGAAUUUUGGAAAUAAAUAUAUAAUUAACAUAUAUUUAUUUAUUACAUAUUAAUAUUUUCAACGAUUUACGAAAUCGAAAAUGAUUUUAGAAUUUUAAGUAGAAAAGAAUUUGAAUUACGAAAAUUGAUUGAAUUUAGAAAACGAUCCUAUUCAGUUUUGGAUUCGAAUCAUAAAAGCUAAAUCCUAAUUCUAGCCCACUUGGGAAAGCCCAAUAUUAAAACCCAAAACUCAAACCCUCCCUUUACUCUAAUUCACGUAAAACAAAAAUAAAAAAAUAAACAAAGCCAAAACCCCAUUUGAACUUCACGUGAAAACGCAAAAGAGAAAAAAAAAAAAAAGAAGCAAAACCUAUCUCUCAUUCAAACUCACGUAAACUAGCAAACCCUCAAACCUUGGUACUCUCUGCCCAGCCGCCAGCCACCAUACACCCGCCGGACCUCCACCGUCCUCGUCACAGCCGCCCCAGCCGCCGACCACCUACCGCCGCCGCGACCGCCAGCUGCACGGUAACCUUCUUCUUCUCCUUCGUUCUUCUUCCUUUCUCUUUCGUUCGUUUCUUGCAGCUUCGCUACCCUUCUCACGAUCUUUUUCGCUCUUGCUCUCCUCGCUCGUUUUGGUUUUUGCGCAGCAGCAACCGAGUCGCGCCACCCUCUCCUUGCUGUCGCCGAGCAGUGCUGCCGCCUCCGGCCGCGCCUCACCGCCUGCCACCGUCGUCCUCUCUCGUCGGCGGAGAAUUCUCCUUAGGCGACUUUUGAAUUAUUAAAGUGGUCUUGCAGUUUGUUUACACAAGUCUCUAAGGAUCAAUAAGCAUUGUCCAUCUGCAGGUUUGAAGAUGUUGCAUCAUUGGGAUCGGGAAUAGAGAGCUUGUAUUUAGUUUUGAUUUGCUAAGUUGACUUGGGUUUGUUUAAUUGGACUUUAAACUGGUCGUACUAUUUAUAUUUCCUUAUUUUUCGUUUAUUGGUUUUUGGGAUUAAACCUGUAAUCGAUUAUUUAUAAACCUAAAGUUAGUUUUAUGUUUUC